rnacentral:rRNA from 1 species
GAUGAACGCUGGCGGCACGCCUAACACAUGCAAGUCGAACGAAGUGUGAGGAAGCUUGCUUCCAAUCACUUAGUGGCGGACGGGUGAGUAACACGUGAGCAACCUGCCUCUUGGUUUGGGAUACCGUUUGGAAACGAACGUUAAUACCGAAUAAUAUAGCGGAUUCGCAUGUUUCUGCUAUCAAAGAUUUAUUGCCAAGAGAUGGGCUCGCGUCUGAUUAGAUAGUUGGUGAGGUAACGGCUCACCAAGGCGACGAUCAGUAGCCGGCCUGAGAGGGUGAACGGCCACAUUGGGACUGAGACACGGCCCAAACUCCUACGGGAGGCAGCAGUGGGGAAUAUUGCACAAUGGGGGAAACCCUGACCCAGCAACGCCGCGUGAGUGAAGAAGUAUUUCGGUAUGUAAAGCUCUAUCAGCAGGGAAGAAAAUGACGGUACCUGACUAAGAAGCCCCGGCUAACUACGUG